AAGCCUAUGAUGAUUGUAUUUUUAGUUGGAAUUACCGACUGAUGUCUUUGAUGAUAAAUUACUGGCUUUCUGAAGGCUUCAG